GAGGUCGGCAACGACCACCCAGGGCCGGAAAGUUGGUCAAACUCGGUCAUUUAGAGGAAGUAAAAGUCGUAACAAGGUCUCCGUAGGUGAACCUGCGGAGGGAUCAUUA
rnacentral:rRNA from 1 species